GUGGGGAAUAUUGCGCAAUGGGCGAAAGCCUGACGCAGCGACGCCGCGUGAGGGAUGAAGGUCUUCGGAUCGUAAACCUCUGUCAGCAGGGAAGAACGGUCACUGUGCUAAUCAGCAGUGAAUUGACGGUACCUGCAAAGGAAGCACCGGCUAACUCCGUGCCAGCAGCCGCGGUAAUACGGAGGGUGCGAGCGUUAAUCGGAAUUACUGGGCGUAAAGCGCUCGUAGGCGGUAUGUCAAGUCAAGGGUGAAAUCCCCGCGCUCAACGUGGGAACUGCCUUUGAAACUGGCAAACUGGAGUGUGUGAGAGGAUAGUGGAAUUCCAGGUGUAGGAGUGAAAUCCGUAGAUAUCUGGAGGAACAUCAGUGGCGAAGGCGACUAUCUGGCACAUAACUGACGCUGAGGAGCGAAAGCGUGGGUAGCAAACAGGAUUAGAAACCCCAGUAGUCC
rnacentral:rRNA from 1 species